CCUACGGGAGGCAGCAGUGGGGAUAUUGGACAAUGGGCGAAAGCCUGAUCCAGCCAUGCCGCGUGUGUGAAGAAGGUCUUCGGAUUGUAAAGCACUUUAAGUUGGGAGGAAGGGCAGUAAGUUAAUACCUUGCUGUUUUGACGUUACCGACAGAAUAAGCACCGGCUAACUUCGUGCCAGCAGCCGCGGUAAU
rnacentral:rRNA from 1 species